UCGCUGCGGUGAUCAUGUUCUUCAGUCGUUCUGAAGUCGUCGUGGCCUAAAGGCUAAGACGUCCGGUGCAUUCGUGUGUAGCGAUGCACCGGUGUUCGAAUCCCGCAGGCGGGUACCAAUUUUUCUAAAGAAAUAAGUACUUAACAAAUGUUCACAAUUGACUUCCACGGUGAAGGACUAACAUCGCGUAAUAAAAAUGAAACCCGCUAAAUUUUAAUUUGCGUAAUUACUGGUGGUAGGACCUCUUGUGAGUUCGCACGGGGAUGUCGUGAAGGCGGUUAGUAAGCGGAUCUACUCGAAGCGAAACAGCGAACGGAUCACCUGAAGCGAAGCGGAAGAAGUUAAUUAUGAAGUGUAAAGUGUUCUGAAGUGUUCUAAGUGUUAAAUAGAGUUUUAAUUUGUA